rnacentral:misc_RNA from 1 species
CACCACUCAAGCCUCGCUUGGUAUUGGGCAACGCGGUCCGCCGCGUGCCUCAAAUCGACCGGCUGGGUCUUCUGUCCCCUAAGCGUUGUGGAAACUAUUCGCUAAAGGGUGCUCGGGAGGCUACGCCGUAAAACCCCCAAUUUUUUCU